AGUAGCAACAGGGAUGUAUGUAACCAGUGUGUACAAUUUGUUUGCAGAAUCUUCAUCGUCGUUUCUCCUCCUGCUCAAGCGAACUCUGACGCGGAAGGGAACAUUCCUGAAAGAUUAAAGAAAUGGAAUCGUUAAUGAAUAUCAUUGUAUUUCCGUAUUACUUAUAAUCUUGAAUGAUAAAAAGUUUUUAUACAACCGCCGAAAUGAUUAUAAGUAUAAUGAGCAAAAGUGUGAAGUGAUACAAUCAUACAAUCUGAACUAAAUGUUACAUUGGAGCUACGUGAACUGAUUUUUUGUUAGUUACUUCAACUUGAAUAUUGGAAAGAAACUUGAAUUAUCACCAAACUGUCAGAGACUUUAAACAGCAGCUAUGGAAUAAUGGUCCAAGCAUAAGUAAGGAUAUUCCAAAACUUGAACCUUGUAAAAUCCUAGGUACCUAUCCACCAUAUAUCAAGAAUUACUGCUUGUCAGUGAACAAUGUAAUAAAGGUAGCUACGAAGCGUCAGGGUGGUAUGGUAGGUAGAGCCACUUAAAAAUGAAUUCUUCUCCAAGUACAACUAGGAUUAACAAUGGUAUUUAUAUGUUGGGCAGGUUCCAGUCGAGAAAUAGAGAAGAUUUCUUUACGCGGCUCACCUGAUUCCCUUGGACCAGAGCUGUUUGUUGAGACGUGUGUCGAUCCUAACGUCAGGUGUGCCCAUAUGUUUUUCGGCAAAUUUCCUGAUUUCCUUGAUCGCUCGAGGGGCCCGUUUCUUGAAACCGACGCCAUGCAAUCGCUUGUGGAGGUUGACGGUGUAUUCACGUGUCACGACCUCGUUGAUCGCACUCUUUCCUUUCUUUUCCCCAGUGGUCUUCG